GAUGAACGCUAGCUACAGGCUUAACACAUGCAAGUCGAGGGGCAGCACAGUGUAGCAAUACACGGGUGGCGACCGGCGCACGGGUGCGUAACGCGUAUCCAACCUUCCCGUUACUCAGGGAUAGCCUUCCGAAAGGGAGAUUAAUACCUGAUGGUGUUCAAAUUCCGCAUGUUAUUUGAACUAAAGAUUUAUCGGUAACGGAUGGGGAUGCGUGACAUUAGAUAGUAGGCGGGGUAACGGCUCACCAAGGCAACGAUCAUUAGGGGUUCUGAGAGGAAGGUCCCCCACACUGGAACUGAGACACGGUCCAGACUCCUACGGGAGGCAGCAGUGAGGAAUAUUGGUCAAUGGAGGCAACUCUGAACCAGCCAAGUAGCGUGCAGGACGACGGCCCUAUGGGUUGUAAACUGCUUUUAUGCGGGGAUAAAUGAUCCUACGUGUAGGAUUUUGCAGGUACCGCAUGAAUAAGGACCGGCUAAUUCCGUG
rnacentral:rRNA from 1 species